ACAGUAGAAGCCAGUUGUUCUCCA
rnacentral:siRNA from 1 species